rnacentral:tRNA from 1 species
AUUUAAUUAGUUUAAAAAAAAUUUUGGAUUGUGGAUUCAAAGAUAUUCUGAGAAUAUUAAAUU